GCGGCGGCUACACAUGCAGUCGAGCGGUAACAGAAGAAAGCUUGCUUUCUUGCUGACGAGCGGCGGACGGGUGAGUAAUGUAUGGGGAUCUGCCCGAUAGAGGGGGAUAACUACUGGAAACGGUGGCUAAUACCGCAUGACGUCUACGGACCAAAGCAGGGGCUCUUCGGACCUUGCGCUAUCGGAUGAACCCAUAUGGGAUUAGCUAGUAGGUGAGGUAAUGGCUCACCUAGGCAACGAUCUCUAGCUGGUCUGAGAGGAUGAUCAGCCACACUGGGACUGAGACACGGCCCAGACUCCUACGGGAGGCAGCAGUGGGGAAUAUUGCACAAUGGGCGCAAGCCUGAUGCAGCCCUGCCGCGUGUAUGAAGAAGGCCUUAGGGUUGUAAAGUACUUUCCGCGGGGAGGAAGGGGAUAAAGCUAAUUUCU
rnacentral:rRNA from 1 species